GACAGAGGUGCCAAGCGUUAGGCGGAAUCACUGGGCUUAAAGCGUGUGUAGGUGGAUUUGUAAGUACCUUGUGAAAUCCCAAGGCUCAACCUUGGAACCGCCUUUGAUACUGGGGAUCUCGAGUCCGGAAGAGGUUGGUGGAACUGCGAGUGUAGAGGUGAAAUUCGUAGAUAUUCGCAAGAACACCAGUGGCGAAGGCGGCCAACUGGUCCGGUACUGACGCUGAGGUGCGAAAGCGUGGGGAGCAAACAGG
rnacentral:rRNA from 1 species